rnacentral:rRNA from 1 species
UAGGGAAUCUUCCGCAAUGGGCGAAAGCCUGACGGAGCAACGCCGCGUGAGUGAUGAAGGUCUUCGGAUCGUAAAACUCUGUUAUUAGGGAAGAACAAAUGUGUAAGUAACUAUGCACGUCUUGACGGUACUUAACCAGAAAGGGACGGCUAACUACGUGCCAGCAGCCGCGGUAAUACGUAGGUCCCGAGCGUUGUCCGGAUUUAUUGGGCGUAAAGCGAGCGCAGGCGGUUAGAAAAGUCUGAAGUGAAAGGCAGUGGCUCAACCAUUGUAGGCUUUGGAAACUGUUUAACUUGAGUGCAGAAGGGGAGAGUGGAAUUCCAUGUGUAGCGGUGAAAUGCGUAGAUAUAUGGGGGAACACCGGUGGCGAAAGCGGCUCUCUGGUCUGUAACUGACGCUGAGGCUCGAAAGCGUGGGGAGCGAACAGG